CUAUGUGCUACUUUUUAUUUCCAGAGCUAGUUCUUGUACAUUUGUUGCGGGUAAUUGGGCUAAAUAAGGGUUAGGGGUAAACACUUAAACACAGCAUGUUGGGUAAGUACCCAGUAAUUUAUUGUGUUUGCACAGCAAAAGAGUAUUUAGAUUAAAAGCAAGGCUUUGUCACGAGGAGUGCAAAGAUCAAGCAGAAUAUUAAUAAGUUGCUUAACAAUAGCAACAACUAAAAAGAGAUAGCAACCCUUCACGUAAGUACCCAGUAAAUAUUCCAACAAAAUAAGUACUCAGUAAAUAAAGAUACACAUAUUAUGAUGGAAUGUUCGGAUCGGUCCAUGUUCUCCUUCUACUAUUCUUUUUUUUCGUUGCGGGAUUUUUGGGAAUUUAUUUCUUAAAUCUGGUCUAUUUUUCUCACGUUCAAUCCUCAUCUCUGUCACGUUCAAUAACAAACUCACAUCCCUAUCUCUAUCUUCAAAUCCACGUUCUAGUACAACUCGGUUGAGCUCUGUGAUAGACAAACUCUAUACAUAAGAUGAGGUGUUCUUAGUUUUGUAUCAGGAAACCUACUUCUCUAUUCAUUAAAAUAGAUCAUUUAUUCAGAUAGUGAGUAAGAGUAUGAAAAAACAAAGUUACCUUUGGGUUCCUACUUGCGCCACUUCGUGUUUGAUCUGCAAUGGCUGCAGGUAUGCUUGUGCUUUUUUUAGCUUCCGUUGUUUGAUCUGAAUAUGACUUAAAUUCAUUUGCAUGUUUAGAUCAGUAUGUAUAGAUUUUACAUUUAGUAUCAGAGCCUUAAAAUGCCUCUGUCUUGCUUUUGUUUUGGUAUUAUAUGGGGUAACAUUGUUCUGCUAUAUUAAAUAUGAAAAGAAAAGUAGAGAAGAAAGAUGAAUAGUGUAAUGG
rnacentral:lncRNA from 1 species